AUGGAGGCGAGGCAGCAGGCCGGCAGCGCGGCCCUGUGCGCCAGCGGCUGCGGAUUCUUCGCCGGCGUGGCGACAAACGAUCUCUGCUCCAAGUGCUUCAAGGAACAGCAGCUGCUGGACGUAAUGGCCUUUGAUGGCGCCAUCAUGUCCGGCCUCAGGUCGCUGACCAUCAGGUUGACGAAAGGCGGAGGCGAGGAGGAGACGCCCGAGAAGACGAUCAAGAACCGAUGCAGCGCGUGCCAGAAGAAGGUGGGGCUGCUGGGAUUCGCCUGCCGGUGCGGGGCCACCUACUGCGGCGCGCACCGCCACGCCGACGCCCACACCUGCUUCUUCGACUACAAGGCAGCCGGCCGCGAGCAGAUCGCGCGCCAGAACCCGCUCGUCGUCGCGCCCAAGAUGGCGAGGAUUUGA
rnacentral:rRNA from 1 species